GAUAGGCAGAGAUGGUGCUAUAGUUGCCUAGAAAACAAAGCAAAAAUGGCAGCGAAAAAAUCUGACAAAAUUACCAGUUUAGCCUUCGACUGUGACAGCAUAUAUGCUAUUGAUUUUUUAAUUUUUUUUUUAAAGAAACAAGAAAAGACUGUCAAAGAAAAUAUUAUGACCAAAAAUAGACUGAAACGAGCAAGAGACAAGACUCAACUGAACAUCGGUUCGGAUUUCAGCAGUGGCGAGAGCUCACUUAAAAGGCUUCAAAGGUGAUGCUGAGCUUGCAGUAUUUCUCAUGGACAGGCCUACUCAGUCAGUGCGUAGUUGGAGACUUUGGAGCAGAUGAGCGGGUCUUCGCAUGGAAGGGCGGGAGGGGGUGGAGCGUUUUUUU